GCCACCGAGAUUUCCGGCUCCCUUCCGCCCCGCCUUUUUCUUCCAGAGUGAUAAACGUGCAGCAGCAGUAGCAGCACGGGUGUCUGAAUGCAAGUUAAGGCUGGUCUAGGCAUGAAGCUGAAGGAAGUGGCAGGCCCCUGAGGGAGUGGACGGGGCUGAGUCGUUUCAGGCUGCCGAGUGGGGCGGGGAGAGUCAGUUUUGGAAUGCUCUCCCGCCUUAUGGGAAAACCGCACAGUUCCCUGCAAGCAGAAAGCUAGCGCGUCAGGGGGAAGGCUGGUCUAGAAUUUCGCUUUGUGCUAAGAUUGUUGUUAUUUCGAGUAGGGAGUUCAGUGCUGCAGUUCCGUGGUGGGGUGCACCUGCAUUGCAUGCGGAAGGUCCCAGGUUCAGUUCCUUGUAGUAGCUCCAGGUAGGGCUGGUUGAGAGUCCUGCCUGAAACCCCGGAGAGGUGCUGAGGUCGAUGGACCAAAAGUCUGACUCCAGAGAAGGCAGCCUCCUAUGAUCCAGCCGCCAGCUCCGUCUCAGGUCCACACCUUUGCUUCCUUUGGUGCCUGCUCCGGUGAGAUAAGCCGGGAUUCCAUGUCAUCAACCGUCAUGGCCUAGGGGAGAGAGCCCCAUAUACACUCCCCUCUGCUAGUAAGAUGAUGUGCUUUUAAUCGGAGCUGAUCAUGGCUAAGAAGCAGGGCAUAAAUAUGUAUACACAUAGCAUUUAGAGUGCUCCACAUUAUCUUGUUAUUUUUGAUAUCAAGCUGAGGUAUUACAGUACAGGUGGUACCCAUGAGGAAUGUACCAUGCAGAGAUUCUCAGGAAAAAAAUCGCAACGUGUGAGGAAAUGAACUCAUCUUUCGGAUACAACCUUUUUCUUAUGCCACCUCACUGUCCCAUGUGUGAACUGACCCGGGGACAUGUCUACAAAGAACAGCUUCAUACCGUUUUGGGUCCUUUAUUGGCACAAAAAUGUUCAACUACAACAUGGCAUCUAAACAUGGGUACACAGUGUGCAUUUUGCUUAAUAGUUGCUUCAUUAAUAAAAUCCUAAUGACAAUCAGAGUUCA